rnacentral:rRNA from 1 species
CGGAAGAGAGCGGCGGACGGGUGAGUAACGCGUGGGUAACCUGCCUCAUACACAUGGAUAACAUACCGAAAGGUAUGCUAAUACAAGAUGACAUAAGAGAUUCGCAUGGAUUUCUUAUCAAAGCUUUUGCGGUAUGAGAUGGACCCGCGUCUGAUUAGCUAGUUGGUAAGGUAAUGGCUUACCAAGGCGACGAUCAGUAGCCGACCUGAGAGGGUGAUCGGCCACAUUGGAACUGAGACACGGUCCAAACUCCUACGGGAGGCAGCAGUGGGGAAUAUUGCACAAUGGGCGAAAGCCUGAUGCAGCAACGCCGCGUGAGCGAUGAAGGCCUUCGGGUCGUAAAGCUCUGUCCUCAAGGAAGAUAAUGACGGUACUUGAGGAGGAAGCCCCGGCUAACUACGUGCCAGCAGCCGCGGUAAUACGUAGGGGGCUAGCGUUAUCCGGAUUUACUGGGCGUAAAGGGUGCGUAGGUGGUUUCUUAAGUCAGGAGUGAAAGGCUACGGCUCAACCGUAGUAAGCUCUUGAAACUGGGAAACUUGAGUGCAGGAGAGGAAAGUGGAAUUCCUAGUGUAGCGGUGAAAUGCGUAGAUAUUAGGAGGAACACCAGUAGCGAAGGCGGCUUUCUGGACUGUAACUGACACUGAGGCACGAAAGCGUGGGGAGCAAACAGGAUUAGAUACCCUGGUAGUCCACGCCGUAAACGAUGAGUACUAGGUGUCGGGGGUUACCCCCCUCGGUGCCGCAGCUAACGCAUUAAGUACUCCGC